rnacentral:tRNA from 1 species
UCUUCGAUAGUAUAGUGGUGAGUAUCCCCGCCUGUCACGCGGGAGACCGGGGUUCAAUUCCCCGUCGGAGAG